rnacentral:misc_RNA from 1 species
AGCAGCCGCGGUAAUUCCAGCUCCAAUAGCGUAUAUUAAAGUUGCUGCAGUUAAAAAGCUCGUAGUUGAAUUUCGGGACUAAUAUGUCGGUCGUGCCUCGGUACGUACUGGUUUAUUGGUUUCUCCUUUCUGAAGAACCAUGAUGUCAUUUAUUUGGUGUCGUGGGGAAUCAGGACUGUUACUUUGAAAAAUUAGAGUGUUUAAAGCAGGCUCACGCUUGAAUACAUUAGCAUGGAAUAAUGAAAUAGGACGUUUGAUUCUAUUUUGUUGGUUUCUAGGAUCGACGUAAUGAUUAAUAGGGAUAGUUGGGGGCAUUAGUAUUCAAUUGUCAGAGGUGAAAUUCUUGGAUUUAUUGAAGACUAACUACUGCGAAAGCAUUUGCCAAGGAUGUUUUCAUUAAUCAAGAACGAAAGUUAGGGGAUCGAAGACGAUCAGAUACCGUCGUAGUCUUAACCAUAAACUACGCCGACUAGGGAUCGGAUGAUGUUAAUUUUUUAAUGACUCAUUCGGCGCCUUACGG